rnacentral:lncRNA from 1 species
AACAAAGGAAAAGAAAAGUUUAGUGCGAGAGAAGGGAUAGACAGAGGAAAGGAAAAGAUAGUUGUUUGCUUACAGAAAGACCUCAACUUUAAUCUUCUCAGAUCCUAUUUCUACCCGUCGUUUCUAGAUCUGCCGGCCAAUUUCCGUUUCCGCGUCAGUUUCUUUGUGGGUUGAUGAUGAUCGGUUAAAGGAUCGGACUCGGACAGAUCCACCACAGAUAAAGAAAAAGUAGUAGUAGUAGUAGUAGAAGAAGAGCUGUAGUUUGAAGGAUUUCUGGAUUGGUAUUUGAUGUUGAGAGACAGGGAAGUUACUCCUUUGGAUGGUUUCUAAGUAAGGUGAGUAGUUUAUCUAGAUGAGUAAUUCUAUAUGUAGGAGCUUUUUUUUAUUUUCCUUUGCUUAAAUUUGAACUUUGAUUUGGAUACUUCAAAAUCUUUACUUGUCAAUUUUCUUUAUAUGCUCUAGUUUCCAGUCUUGUUUAAUGGAGUUUAACUGUUUUCUUUGUUGUUUCUAUUUCCCAAUUUAGCUGGUAGAUUCAUUAAUUAAUGUUUAGAAUCUUAGCAAGUUUGGAAUACAAAAGUAUUCUGGGUUGGUGUAGUUUCUUAUGAAGUCCUGAUUUUUAUUCAAAAACUAUGGUGAUAGUUGUGUGCGGUCAGAUUUUCUAGGGGAAGAGAUGGAAGAGGUGGGCACUCAAGUAGCCCCUUCAAUCUAUAUUCACCCAUCACUUUCGGGUCGGUUCCUCGAGUCGCAUCCCAUGGCUAAGAAGCGCAGUAUGCCUUUCCAGCCGACCAAUUUUCACCUCCAGCAGCUGCAGCCUCCGCGGCAGCCUCAGCAGUUCGUCUCGGGGUUUCAGGACUCCAGGGAGCACUGGCACCCUAAGGCAUGGGACUGGGACAGCGCGAGGUUUCUGGCGAAGCCAUUGGAAUCUGAUGUACUACGUGCGGGUACUUCGACAUCUGUUCAAUCUGAGACACAAAGGAGCAGAGAUGAUGAAACUGGUGCAGCAAAUUCAGGAAUUUUAAGGAAGAAUCAUGUGGGGGAAGACGACGAAAGCCUCCUUCUGCAGCUCGGUGGAGGCCGUGUAAAUUCUGUUGAGGAGCCUGUGUCAAGGCCAAACAAGAGAGUAAGAUCUGGAUCUCCUGGUGGUGGAAACUAUCCCAUGUGUCAAGUAGAUAAUUGCAAGGAGGAUCUAUCAAAUGCGAAAGACUAUCAUAGGCGGCACAAGGUGUGUGAAGUCCAUAGUAAAGCCACUAAGGCCUUAGUGGGGAAGCAGAUGCAGAGGUUUUGUCAACAGUGCAGCAGGUUUGUGAAUUCAUUUCACCGAUUUAACACCAUAUUAUCGUGUUGUGUUAAUAAUUUGUGUUUAUGGAUUAUUGUCUAUUUUCUUUGUGAAUUGCAUUGUUGUCGCGAUGGAACUUUUUUCACCAUAAGUUGCUUGCAAUUAUUAUGACCACUUCUGCCUCUGUUAUAUGUUUCUCAACCUGAGUUAUGCACUCCAUUUUCCCUAGGUUUCACCCUCUUUCAGAGUUUGACGAGGGAAANNNNNNNNNNNNNNNNNNNNNNNNNNNNNNNNNNNNNNNNNNNNNNNNNNNNNNNNNNNNNNNNNNNNNNNNNNNNNNNNNNNNNNNNNNNNNNNNNNNNAAAAAAUGAUAGUUACACAAUCUCUCUUUCACAUAAAUAGUAAAUAAAUUCCACAUUUAUAUGAGCGUGAACUUAUAAAAAUAUCAAAAUUUUCUUAUAAAAAUAUUAAUUAUCUUCAUUUAAUAUAAUUCGGUACAUAUACAAGUUUAUUGUUAAACAAAGUCGAUAUAAAUUUUAAGUACAAUUCUAUAUUUUUUUUUAGACAAAACUCAAAAGGGGACCUUACGCUCUUGUAUGAGGUAACCUUAGCAUCGUUUUGCAUAACUCCUUUUAUAUGAGCUUUGCUCCCCUCCGUUAUACUUUGAAUUUUAUUUAAUACACCAUAUUUUUAUAAUUUUAGAAGAUAUAUAUUUAUAAUAUAGUAUAGUUAGUUCAAAAUAAAAGUAAUCCGAUAUUUUUUUAUCAUUUGAUAAAUAUAUGAAUAUCUUAUUAAAAUUUCAAUAGUUGAAAUUUCUUUUAAACUUUUAACAGUAAAAUUAUUCUUAUUGAUGCUAUUUUUUUUUGUAGCUAGGAAUGAUCUUAAUAGCAUAAACUAUUUAUUAACAUAUUUUAAUUAUUACUAACAAAAUUAUUAAGAUAAAAUAAUUAAUGUAUUAGGUGGAAUUGAAAAAAAUGUGUAAUGGACGAGAGUCAAAUCCCUUCCGUAUGUUAUGUAUUUAAUAAUUUUCUAUUAUUAUUAUUAUUAUAAAAGAAUAUUUUAUGCAAGAGCAUGAGAUAUGUGAACACGAGACAUACUUGGAGGUAACGCGAGUCUAUAGGCUACGUUUCCUAUUCGGUCAAGAAUCUCAAAUGGACCAACAAACCUUGGAUUGAGCUUUCCUCUUUUCCCAAAUCUUGUAACUCCUUUCCAUGGAGCAAUACGUAACAAUACAUGAUCUCNNNNNNNNNNNNNNNNNNNNNNNNNNNNNNNNNNNNNNNNNNNNNNNNNNNNNNNNNNNNNNNNNNNNNNNNNNNNNNNNNNNNNNNNNNNNNNNNNNNNGCUUUGCUCCCCUCCGUUAUACUUUGAAUUUUAUUUAAUACACCAUAUUUUUAUAAUUUUAGAAGAUAUAUAUUUAUAAUAUAGUAUAGUUAGUUCAAAAUAAAAGUAAUCCGAUAUUUUUUUAUCAUUUGAUAAAUAUAUGAAUAUCUUAUUAAAAUUUCAAUAGUUGAAAUUUCUUUUAAACUUUUAACAGUAAAAUUAUUCUUAUUGAUUCUAUUUUUUUUUGUAGCUAGGAAUGAUCUUAAUAGCAUAAACUAUUUAUUAACAUAUUUUAAUUAUUACUAACAAAAUUAUUAAGAUAAAAUAAUUAAUGUAUUAGGUGGAAUUGAAAAAAAUGUGUAAUGGACGAGAGUCAAAUCCCUUCCGUAUGUUAUGUAUUUAAUAAUUUUCUAUUAUUAUUAUUAUUAUAAAAGAAUAUUUUAUGCAAGAGCAUGAGAUAACGUGGUUUAAACUUAUUUUAAAAUAGGCAAAAUAAAAAUAUGGAAUAUCAUUUAGAACCAAAUAAAAUGCAUUCUGUUAUGCUGUUUGUCACUUGUUCAAUUGAUAACGUGAAUUGUCAAAAUUGUCCGCCUCUUUAAUUCCUUAUGGUAUAUCCUUGGAAGAGAACAGACGACUGAUUAGGCAAUACCAUACACGGUUUUAGCCUAUCUUUUGUCAGUUUUCCUGAGGUUGUGUAUCUUUUUUUUUUUAACAAUGUUAUUAUCAUAUAAAAAAAAAUUAUAUAAUAUUCACAUAUACAUAUAUGCAUAUAUAUAUAUAUUAUGUGACUAUUUUUAUGUAAUAAUAACAUUAUCUAUCUUUUUUCUUUUUUUUUGCUAAAACCAAACCAACCCAAAAAGAUUAAAAGGAGCGCAAGGAUAAAAGUAAUUAACUAAAAUAUCUCAUUCAUUAUGUAUGUUGUGGAUAUUAUUUUAUCAUGAUCUUUGGUAGUUAAUAUAUUAUUCAUUAUUUUAUGGAUUUGAGUUUUUAAAUAUUUAAUUUAAUCUAUUCAUGGAGUAGAACACAUUAAUAUAUGGAAUCAUUAAAAAUAAUUAAUGACACCUAUAUUAAUUUAAGCUCAAAUUUCAACAAUAUUCACAUACACAUAUGUAUAUUGUGGGCCUCCGUCUGAUAUUUGGGAUUUAUAAAUAUAUAUAUAUGUGUAUAUGUGAAUAUUAUGUGACUAUUUUUUAUAUAAUAGUAACAUUAUUUAUCUUUUUUUUUCUUGCUAAAACCAAACCAUAAAGAUUAAAAGGAGCGCAAGCAAAAUUAGGAUAAAAGUAAUUAACUAAAAUUUCAAAAUAUUAAUGCAAAUACUCAUAUUUUGUCGAAAGUGGUUAGUAUAGUUUAUUUUUGGGUAAGUUGGUCAAUUGGCCAAUAAAAUAUUGACACGCAGAUCAAAGUCUAUGUGUGUUACAUCCAUUUUGUCUGAACCUACAUGUCAUGUUAUGUCAUGUCUGUAGAAGAACAAAAUCUGGAAGAAGGGUUUUGGACUACUAUCCAAUUAACUUAUGUGUUAAUUGCGACCAUGUUUUAAUGAUAAAACUAUUCUAUUACCCGCGCGAGACACUUAUAUAUAUAUAUAUAGUCGUAAUAAUAUCAAAAAGGUUGGACCAAUAAAUAAUAAUAAUAAUAAUGUAAUUCAUAUGAUUUUAAUUUUGUUAAAAAUUACAAUUACCAUAUACUAUUAUUGUUCAUAAUAGUAUUGGUGGAAAAUAGCCGAAAUUGCUACAUGGGGAUUCUCACUAAAAGUUUUGUACGUAGUAACUUGUGAGUGCCAAAAUAGAUUUUAUUCAUAUCGAUUUUUAUGGAUUUAAUUAGCACAUACUACUUAUUUCCUUUUAUUACUAAAAGAAAAAGAAUUUGUUAUACGCAAAAUCACUUUAUUCAAAGAUUAUGACAAACUUAUUUUAAUUAGAUUGUCACCCAAGAAUUGAGACAACUAAAUUGGCUGGCUUAAAAUAUAAAUAUAGAUACAACCUGAUUUUUAAAAUUUUAAUUGAAAUGACUUGAUUAUUUUAUUAAAAAAAACAAUGUAAUCAUCAUAGUUUGAAAAUCUUACCAUUAUAAUUAGAAAUACAAGUAUUGAUUUGUUAAUUGAAUGUCAUCAAGUAACAUGCAAAUAAUUACAUUAAGUUGUUAGUAUAUGGAUCGGAUCGGAUCCUAACAAAAAAUAACUCCUCAUCUAAUUUAAAACUAAAAAGAUAAAAGUAAAAUAAAAUAGUGCGAUAAAUACCUCACUCACUCGCUCGCUCGCUAAAGUUGAAAUAAUGAUGUACUAUAUAUAUAAUACUACUACUCAAAGUAUUAGGUGAACAAAGUUAUUGUACACUUGUUUUGGAGAUAAACUUAAACAAAAUGGUGUCUUCAAGUUUUGUUUUAGUUACAAGAGAAGAGAAGAGAAAAUGAGGGAGAAUUGGUUCAUUUUCUCUCUUUUUUAAUUAUUAUUAUUAUUAUAAUAACUUAAUAAUUUCACAUUAAUUAAAUUAAGAAAGGAAUUUUUUUUAUCAAUCAUCAAUAUAUAAUUCUAUAAAACAAAAGAAUUUACAUUUUUUUCCCUUUUAAUUGGUGGCACUAUUUUGAUUUCUUUCCUCCCAAUGCCAACAGAGUAAAAUGGAAGUGGCGUGGAGUCUUCCAAGUCCGCGGCAGAGCCAAACUUUUAACCCCUAAAUCUUCUUUUAAUUUACCGUUUUUGCCAAACUGGUACGGACGAAGGAGAAGAAAACAAAGGAAAAGAAAAGUUUAGUGCGAGAGAAGGGAUAGACAGAGGAAAGGAAAAGAUAGUUGUUUGCUUACAGAAAGACCUCAACUUUAAUCUUCUCAGAUCCUAUUUCUACCCGUCGUUUCUAGAUCUGCCGGCCAAUUUCCGUUUCCGCGUCAGUUUCUUUGUGGGUUGAUGAUGAUCGGUUAAAGGAUCGGACUCGGACAGAUCCACCACAGAUAAAGAAAAAGUAGUAGUAGUAGUAGUAGAAGAAGAGCUGUAGUUUGAAGGAUUUCUGGAUUGGUAUUUGAUGUUGAGAGACAGGGAAGUUACUCCUUUGGAUGGUUUCUAAGUAAGGUGAGUAGUUUAUCUAGAUGAGUAAUUCUAUAUGUAGGAGCUUUUUUUUAUUUUCCUUUGCUUAAAUUUGAACUUUGAUUUGGAUACUUCAAAAUCUUUACUUGUCAAUUUUCUUUAUAUGCUCUAGUUUCCAGUCUUGUUUAAUGGAGUUUAACUGUUUUCUUUGUUGUUUCUAUUUCCCAAUUUAGCUGGUAGAUUCAUUAAUUAAUGUUUAGAAUCUUAGCAAGUUUGGAAUACAAAAGUAUUCUGGGUUGGUGUAGUUUCUUAUGAAGUCCUGAUUUUUAUUCAAAAACUAUGGUGAUAGUUGUGUGCGGUCAGAUUUUCUAGGGGAAGAGAUGGAAGAGGUGGGCACUCAAGUAGCCCCUUCAAUCUAUAUUCACCCAUCACUUUCGGGUCGGUUCCUCGAGUCGCAUCCCAUGGCUAAGAAGCGCAGUAUGCCUUUCCAGCCGACCAAUUUUCACCUCCAGCAGCUGCAGCCUCCGCGGCAGCCUCAGCAGUUCGUCUCGGGGUUUCAGGACUCCAGGGAGCACUGGCACCCUAAGGCAUGGGACUGGGACAGCGCGAGGUUUCUGGCGAAGCCAUUGGAAUCUGAUGUACUACGUGCGGGUACUUCGACAUCUGUUCAAUCUGAGACACAAAGGAGCAGAG